rnacentral:rRNA from 1 species
GACGAACGCUGGCGGCGUGCUUAACACAUGCAAGUCGAACGGAAAGGCCCUGCUUUUGUGGGGUGCUCGAGUGGCGAACGGGUGAGUAACACGUGAGUAACCUGCCCUUUACUUUGGGAUAACUUCAGGAAACUGGGGCUAAUACCGGAUAGGAGCUCCUGCUGCAUGGUGGGGGUUGGAAAGUUUCGGCGGUUGGGGAUGGACUCGCGGCUUAUCAGCUUGUUGGUGGGGUAGUGGCUUACCAAGGCUUUGACGGGUAGCCGGACUGAGAGGGUGAACGGCCACAUUGGGACUGAGAUACGGCCCAGACUCCUACGGGAGGCAGCAGUGGGGAAUAUUGCACAAUGGGCGGAAGCCUGAUGCAGCAACGCCGCGUGCGGGAUGACGGCCUUCGGGUUGUAAACCGCUUUCGCCUGUGACGAAGCGUGAGUGACGGUAAUGGGUAAAGAAGCACCGGCUAACUACGUG